rnacentral:tRNA from 1 species
GCCUGGCUGGCUCAGUCGUUGGAGUAUGUGACUCUUGAUCUCAGAGUUGUGAGUUCAAGCCCCAUGUUGGGUG